CCCUAUUAUAAGGAAUGUAAAAAGAAAUGCUAAAGUAGUAGUAGUUAUGUUCUUGAAAUUUAAGAGAUUUGGCGGUAUUUUAGUCUACUCAGAGGAACCUGUCCUAUAAUUGAUGAUCCACGAUUAAUUGUACUUAAUUUAUUAGUUUGUAUACCGUCGUAGGUGGAAUGUCUUUAAAAAGUUAGAAUGUUCAUAAUUUAUGAUUUAGAAUUUAUUAAUAGAGGAAAUCAGAUCAAGGUACAGCCUAUAAUUGAGAAGAGAUGGGUUACAAUAAAAUUAUUUAUAUGGAUGUAAUAAUUAACAUUAUUAUUGAAAACGGAUUUGACAGUAAUAUAUUUAAAUUAAAAUGUAUGAUUUUAGCUCUGGAGUAUG
rnacentral:rRNA from 1 species